rnacentral:rRNA from 1 species
GACGAACGCUGGCGGCGUGCUUAACACAUGCCAGUCGUACGGUAAGGCCCUUUCGGGGGUACACGAGUGGCGAACGGGUGAGUAACACGUGAGUAACCUGCCCACAACUUUGGGAUAACGCUAGGAAACUGGUGCUAAUACUGGAUAUGUGCUCCUGCUGCAUGGUGGGGGUUGGAAAGCUCCGGCGGUUGUGGAUGGACUCGCGGCCUAUCAGCUUGUUGGUGGGGUAGUGGCCUACCAAGGCGGCGACGGGUAGCCGGCCUGAGAGGGUGACCGGCCACAUUGGGACUGAGAUACGGCCCAGACUCCUACGGGAGGUAGCAGUGGGGAAUAUUGCACAAUGGGCGCAAGCCGGAUGCAGCAACGCCGCGUGCGGGAUGACGGCCUUCGGGUUGUAAACCGCUUUCAGCAGGGACGAAGCUUUUUGUGACGGUACCUGCAGAAGAAGCACCGGCUAACUACGUG